AGAAACUGUUCCUUGUAAAUUAAUACAAUAUAUUGACACAAGAUGGAAUACAUUAUAUCAUAUGAUCAAUAGUAUCAUUGAUAAUCAUAAUGGUAUUAAAUUGAUUCAACUAAAUGACGAGUACUCAGAACUUCCAAUUUUAACAAAAGAAGAAAUACAAUUAACCAAGCAAAUAAAUAUAUUAGAACCUUUUGAGCAAGCAACUAAAGAUAUUUCUGGUGAAGAUUAUGUUUCUAUUUCACUCGUAAUUCCUUGUAUAAAAGGCAUAAUAUUAAAACUGGAAGCUAUUCAUAAAACAUUAAGUUAUCCAGCAGCACUUUCAUUUUAUGAAAAAAUUCGACAAUUUAUUGACGAAAAAUUAAUACAUUAUGAACAAAGAACGAUUGGCAAAGUAGCUACGUUGAUUGACCCAAGAUU